rnacentral:rRNA from 1 species
AUUGAACGCUGGCGGCAGGCCUAACACAUGCAAGUCGAACGAGUGGCGGACGGGUGAGUAAUGUCUGGGAAACUGCCCGAUGGAGGGGGAUAACUACUGGAAACAGUAGCUAAUACCGCAUACCAUCGGAUGUGCCCAGAUGGGAUUAGCUAGUAGGUGGGGUAACGGCUCACCUAGGCGACGAUCCCUAGCUGGUCUGAGAGGAUGACCAGCGACAUUGGGACUGAGGUACGGACCAAGCUCGUACGGGGGGCAGCGGUGGGGAAUAUUGCGCAAUGGGGGAGACCCUGAUACAGCAGCGCCGCGUGCGGGAUGACGGCCUUCGGGUUGUAAACCGCUUUCAGCUAUGACGCGGUAGUGGCAGAAGAAGCACCGGCUAACUACGUGCCAGCAGCCGCGGUAAUAC